rnacentral:rRNA from 1 species
GUGUCAGCAGCCGCGGUAAUACGUAGGGUGCGAGCGUUAAUCGGAAUUACUGGGCGUAAAGCGUGCGCAGGCGGUUUAGUAAGACAGGCGUGAAAUCCCCGGGCUCAACCUGGGAACUGCGCUUGUGACUGCUAAGCUAGAGUACGGCAGAGGGGGGUGGAAUUCCACGUGUAGCAGUGAAAUGCGUAGAGAUGUGGAGGAACACCGAUGGCGAAGGCAGCCCCCUGGGCCGAUACUGACGCUCAUGCACGAAAGCGUGGGUAGCAAACAGGAUUAGAUACCCUGGUAGUCCACGCCCUAAACGAUGUCAACUAGGUGUUGGGAGGGUAAAACCUUUUAGUACCGGAGCUAACGCGUGAAGUUGACCGCCUGGGGAGUACGGCCGCAAGGUUAAAACUCAAAGGAAUUGGCGG